UAAAAAAUAUUUAAUGACAUUAAAAGUUUUGAAAUCAAAUAAUUUUAGGAGAAUACAAUUUUACCCUUGCCAUUAUUUUCAAUAUAACAAUCAAAUUUUCUAAGCUUCUUUUUUUGUUUUUUGAUAAGAAAAGGAAUUUUAUUGAAAUUCAAACUGGGAGCAAAUUAUGCGUUCAUCAUAGAAUUUGAAAAUUUUCUUCCAAUAGUAAAUUCUGCAUAAUUCUUCAUAUAGUCGUGAAUUUUUGUUCGUGGCGAUAGCGUCAAGGAGAAUUAUUAUUUGUAGCGGCUGCGUCAAAGUGAAUUCUACGUAUUCUUCUUCAUAAAGUUUGAACUUUUUUUUCAACCGUAAAUUUUGCAUAUUUUUUCUUUUUAAAGUAGUGAAUUCUUAUUUAUAGUGGCAGCGUCAAGGUAAAUUAUGCUUAUUCUUCUUCAUGAAGUUCGGAUUUCUCUUCCAACUGUGAAUUCUGCAUAAUUCUUCUUCCUAAAGUUGUGAAUUCUUUUUUGUGGUGAUAGCGUUAAGGUGAAUUAUUCUUUGUGGUGAUUGUGUCAAGUAGUGUCAAUGGGAGCGACACCGUAGUCGAAAGUACAAGUAGUGGCGGUGACAGGUUCCGGUGAUUAUGUUUUCUGGUGGUGGCGACUUGUGAUAAUUGUCUAGGCGCCGUUGAUUUCUCCCUCAAUUCGACGAUGCUAAGGCGACGCAGUCGUUGGCAAGACGAGGCAAUGGCGGUGAUAGCGGUUCGAUUAAUUUUUUGUUCCUUUACUAUUAAUAUUCAUGAAAUCACAACCAACUCGAUGAAUUCACAACUAAAUCACUAAUGUUGGUUGUGAAUUCGAGUUAAGGUGGUAAAUUAUUUUAAUUGAAUUAAGAGUUUUGUGACGUUUGUAUUGUUAAUGUUCUUGGUUUUACAAUUAGUUUUAAAAUA